AAACGACUCUCGACAACGGAUAUCUCGGCUCUCGCAUCGAUGAAGAACGUAGUGAAAUGCGAUACUUGGUGUGAAUUGCAGAAUUCCGUGAACCAUCGAGUCUUUGAACGCAAGUUGCGCCCGAAGCCAUUAGGCCGAGGGCACGCCUGCCUGGGCGUCUCGCAA
rnacentral:rRNA from 1 species